GAAAUAUUUAAAGUGAAAGCUGCUAACUUAUCACUAUAGCGAUUAAAUCCCGUUUAUAUUUCU
rnacentral:tRNA from 2 species